CAUUUGGCUAUCACAGAGCCUCCUGCCCACAUUCCUGCUACUCUAGAUUACUGAAAAGUGUGAGAAAAUGUUUGGAGAAAGCUGUGCUCCGUACAUACUCCCCUGUGUCCUGUAACCCCAUCUUCUGUUCCAUCAUCUCUCCCAGAUGGUCUUCAGAACUGCUCAGCAUUCCAGGAAGAACAGAACUAAAGAAUAGUAUGAAGAAAAGGAGAAGAAUGACAGGGGAAUCCAUUAAGCAAAAGGAAGACAAAGAACAUUUGAAGCAUAUCACUCCUGCCCCUCCCACAGUGCUAUGAUUAAUGGUGUGUGGUUCCAAGUGUUGAAAUCUUCUUUGUGUGAACUGUUUCUCUUUGGAACUGGACCAACUUCUUGUAGCUCAGUGUGACGUUGAACUAACAGAGAUUCAUCUGUCUCUGUCUCCUGAGUCCUGUGAUUAAGGGCGCUUCCCCUUUAGCAGAGUGAAACAGAAGAAACAAUAUCUUGGGUCUGAGCAGCGCAGAAACUGAAGAAGCAGACAGCUCUGCUAUUUCGUUCUUUAAGGAAACAGAGCAAAGCUCAGCUGCAAUGGCUGUCUCUAGAAGAGGAGCCAGGAUUGCUACAUGUGCUGCCAGAGGACAAGGCUCCAGAACUAGGAAGACCUCCUCAGAGUUGAGCAGAUACACUGUAAAACAAAAGUGAUCAAGUGGCAAGAUGCUCACCAUCAUGGCUCAUCAGCACAUAAAGUAGAAACCACAGUGAGGUAGAUUUUAUACCCACCAGAGUCGAUGAUAUCGAAUGCUGGUGAGAGUGGAAGCUGCCUCUCUCAUGACACGAAUGAUUCAGAAAACUGACACAGAUACAGCAGUCCUCCCUGCCCAUGGAAUAUUUGAAGACCUCCAUGGAAGGCCUGAAGCUAUGGAGAGAGCUGAAUCCUAUACAUUUCCUAUUUGUUUGUUUGCUUGUUCUCUAUACAUACAGAGCUAUGACAAAGUGUAAUUUUACAAAUCAGUCACAAUAAAAUCUUCACAACUAAUGAUUAAAUAGAAUAAGAUAGUAAUAAAAUAGUAAUAAGAUACUGUGACUAAAGGUAUGUUAUUUCAGGUCCUUUUUCAAAACAUUACAUUGUUCUGCAGAGCUUUGGAACACUGGUGUGUGACUUAUUGUUCUUUGUUAAGAAUUUUUAACAUUUCACUUAAAGAAAGCACUUUACAAACUUGUCUAUGGCAUAGGUAAAUUUUUGACACCGCAUCUCUGAUGUCAUUAUCAAGACGAAAAUAAGAGUUUCUUAAAUGUAAGCACUGCAAUACAUCAGUGACUCAUUGGUGGCUAGUGUGUGCAGCAUGGCCAUGCUGGACAAAGGAAUGAUUCACUUUCCAGGCAGCAUGGAGCAGAGUGACCUGAGAUGUCAUCACACUACUCAGAAUGCUAUGCAAUGUAAACCUUACAAACUGUUUCAGGAAUUUUCCACUUAAUAGUUUCUGGAUGAAGAAUGAAUCUCAUGGAAGAUGGGAGACUCAUAAUAUUUUUUGAAAAUAUAGUAAAUUAUAAAACCAAAUGCGUGCUCUCUGAU
ensembl:lncRNA